rnacentral:rRNA from 1 species
UACGUAGGGUGCAAGCGUUGUCCGGAAUUAUUGGGCGUAAAGAGCUCGUAGGCGGUCUGUCGCGCCGGCUGUGAAAACCCGGAGCUCAACUCCGGGCCUGCAGUCGAUACGGGCAAACUGGAGUGUUGCAGGGGAGACUGGAAUUCCUGGUGUAGCGGUGAAAUGCGCAGAUAUCAGGAGGAACACCGGUGGCGAAGGCGGGUCUCUGGGCAACAACUGACGCUGAGGAGCGAAAGCCAGGGGAGCAAACGGG